rnacentral:rRNA from 1 species
AGUAGGGAAUCUUCCGCAAUGGACGAAAGUCUGACGGAGCAACGCCGCGUGAGCGAAGAAGGUCUUCGGAUUGUAAAGCUCUGUUGUUAGGGAAGAACAAGUACCGUUCGAAGAGGGCGGUACCGUGACGGUACCUAACGAGAAAGCCACGGCUAACUACGUGCCAGCAGUCGCGGUAAUACGUAGGUGGCAAGCGUUGUCCGGAAUUAUUGGGCGUAAAGCGCGCGCAGGCGGUUCCUUAAGUCUGAUGUGAAAGCCCACGGCUCAACCGUGGAGGGUCAUUGGAAACUGGGGAACUUGAGUGCAGAAGAGGAGAGUGGAAUUCCACGUGUAGCGGUGAAAUGCGUAGAGAUGUGGAGGAACACCAGUGGCGAAGGCGGCUCUCUGGUCUGUAACUGACGCUGAGGCGCGAAAGCGUGGGGAGCAAA